GUGGGGAAUAUUAGGCAAUGGGCGAAAGCCUGACCUAGCAACGCCGCGUGAAGGAAGAAGGCCUUCGGGUUGUAAACUUCUUUUAUGAGGGACGAAGGACGUGACGGUACCUCAUGAAUAAGCCACGGCUAACUACGUGCCAGCAGCCGCGGUAAUACGUAGGUGGCGAGCGUUGUCCGGAUUUACUGGGUGUAAAGGGCGCGUAGGCGGACUGGCAAGUCAGAUGUGAAAUACAGGGGCUCAACCCCUGAACUGCAUUUGAAGCUGUUGGUCUUGAGUAUCGGAGAGGCAAGCGGAAUUCCUAGUGUAGCGGUGAAAUGCGUAGAUAUUAGGAGGAACACCAGUGGCGAAGGCGGCUUGCUGGACGAGUACUGACGCUCAUGUGCGAAAGCGUGGGGAGCAAACAGGAUUAGAAACCCUUGUAGUCC
rnacentral:rRNA from 1 species